UAGAAGGAUGAUCAUGGCUCAGAUUGAACGCUGGCGGCAUGCCUAACACAUGCAAGUCGAACGGAAACGAUGCUAGCUUGCUAGCAGGCGUCGAGUGGCGGACGGGUGAGUAACGCGUAGGAACCUACCUAGUAGUUUGGGAUAGCCCAGAGAAAUUUGGAUUAAUACCGGAUACGCCCUACGGGGGAAAGUGGAGGAUCUUCGGACUUCACGCUAUUAGAUGGGCCUGCGUAAGAUUAGCUAGUUGGUGAGGUAAUGGCUCACCAAGGCAACGAUCUUUAGCUGGUUUGAGAGGAUGAUCAGCCACACUGGGACUGAGACACGGCCCAGACUCCUACGGGAGGCAGCAGUGGGGAAUAUUGCACAAUGGGCGCAACCCUGAUCCAGCCAUGCCGCGUGUGUGAAGAAGGCCUUAGGGUUGUAAAGCACUUUCAGUAGGGAGGAAAAGUUAGUCGUUAAUAACGGCUAACCCUGACGUUACCUACAGAAGAAGCACCGGCAAACUCCGUGCCAGCAGCCGCGGUAAUACGGAGGGUGCGAGCGUUAAUCGGAAUUACUGGGCGUAAAGCGCGCGUAGGCGGCUUGAUAAGUUGGAUGUGAAAGCCCUGGGCUCAACCUAGGAACUGCAUUCAAAACUGUCAGGCUAGAGUAUGGUAGAGGAUAGUGGAAUUUCCGGUGUAGCGGUGAAAUGCGUAGAGAUCGGAAGGAACACCGGUGGCGAAGGCGGCCCCCUGGAUUGAUACUGACACUGAGGUGCGAAAGCGUGGGUAGCAAACAGGAUUAGAUACCCUGGUAGUCCACGCCGUAAACGAUGUCUACUAGCCGUUGGAAUCCUUAGAGGUUUUAGUGGCGCAGCUAACGCAAUAAGUAGACCGCCUGGGGAGUACGGCCGCAAGGCUAAAACUCAAAUGAAUUGACGGGGGCCCGCACAAGCGGUGGAGCAUGUGGUUUAAUUCGACGCAACGCGAAGAACCUUACCUACUCUUGACAUCCUCGGAACUCGGCAGAGAUGCCUUGGUGCCUUCGGGAACCGAGUGACAGGUGCUGCAUGGCUGUCGUCAGCUCGUGUCGUGAGAUGUUGGGUUAAGUCCCGUAACGAGCGCAACCCUUGUCCUUAUUUGCCAGCACGUAAUGGUGGGAACUCUAAGGAGACUGCCGGUGACAAACCGGAGGAAGGUGGGGACGACGUCAAGUCAUCAUGGCCCUUACGAGUAGGGCUACACACGUGCUACAAUGGCCGGUACAGAGGGCUGCGAAGUCGCGAGAGUAAGCAGAUCCCUUAAAGCUCAUCGUAGUCCGGAUCGGAGUCUGCAACUCGACUCCGUGAAGUCGGAAUCGCUAGUAAUCGCAAAUCAGAAUGUUGCGGUGAAUACGUUCCCGGGCCUUGUACACACCGCCCGUCACACCAUGGGAGUGGGUUGCAAAAGAAGUAGCUAGUCUAACUACGGAGUGCGCUUACCACGGUGUGGUUCAUGACUGGGGUGAACUCGGAACAAGGUAGCCGUAGGGGAACCUGCGGCUGGAUCACCUCCUUA
rnacentral:rRNA from 1 species